UACAGAGGUCUCAAGCGUUGUUCGGAUUCAUUGGGCGUAAAGGGCGCGUAGGCUGCGGGGCAAGUCGGGUGUGAAAUCUCAGAGCUCAACUCUGAAACUGCACUCGAUACUGCUUUGCUCGAGGACUGGAGAGGAGAUUGGAAUUCACGGUGUAGCAGUGAAAUGCGUAGAUAUCGUGAGGAAGACCAGUGGCGAAGGCGGAUCUCUGGACAGUUCCUGACGCUGAGGCACGAAGGUCAGGGGGAGCAAACGGG
rnacentral:rRNA from 1 species